rnacentral:rRNA from 1 species
GAGAUUAGUUUGAUCCUGGCUCAGACUGAACGCUGGCGGCAGGCUUAACACAUGCAAGUCGAGCGGUAGCACGGGGGAGCUUGCUCCCUGGGUGACGAGCGGCGGACGGGUGAGUAAUGUCUGGGAAACUGCCUGAUGGAGGGGGAUAACUACUGGAAACGGUAGCUAAUACCGCGUAACGUCGCAAGACCAAAGAGGGGGACCUUCGGGCCUCUUGCCGUCAGAUGUGCCCAGAUGGGAUUAGCUAGUAGGUGGGGUAAUGGCUCACCUAGGCGACGAUCCCUAGCUGGUCUGAGAGGAUGACCAGCCACACUGGAACUGAGACACGGUCCAGACUCCUACGGGAGGCAGCAGUGGGGAAUAUUGCACAAUGGGCGCAAGCCUGAUGCAGCCAUGCCGCGUGUGUGAAGAAGGCCUUCGGGUUGUAAAGCACUUUCAGCGAGGAGGAAGGUGGUGAACUUAAUACGUUCAUCAAUUGACGUUACUCGCAGAAGAAGCACCGGCUAACUCCGUGCCAGCAGCCGCGGUAAUACGGAGGGUGCAAGCGUUAAUCGGAAUUACUGGGCGUAAAGCGCACGCAGGCGGUUUGUUAAGUCAGAUGUGAAAUCCCCGGGCUCAACCUGGGAACUGCAUUUGAAACUGGCAAGCUAGAGUCUCGUAGAGGGGGGUAGAAUUCCAGGUGUAGCGGUGAAAUGCGUAGAGAUCUGGAGGAAUACCGGUGGCGAAGGCGGCCCCCUGGACGAAGACUGAC